rnacentral:rRNA from 1 species
UACGUAGGGGGCUAGCGUUGUCCGGAAUCAUUGGGCGUAAAGCGCGUGUAGGCGGCUCGUUAAGUCCGGUGUGAAACCUUGGGGCUCAACCCCAAGCCUGCACUGGAUACUGACGAGCUCGAGUCCGGGAGGGGAGAGCGGAAUUCCUAGUGUAGCGGUGAAAUGCGCAGAUAUUAGGAAGAACACCGGUGGCGAAGGCGGCUCUCUGGAACGGUACUGACGCUGAGACGCGAAAGCGUGGGGAGCGAACAGG